UAUGUAGGGUGCAAGCGUUAUCCGGAAUUAUUGGGCGUAAAGAGCUCGUAGGCGGUUUGUCGCGUCUGCUGUGAAAACUGGAGGCUCAACCUCCAGCCUGCAGUGGGUACGGGCAAACUAGAGUGCGGUAGGGGAGAUUGGAAUUCCUGGUGUAGCGGUGGAAUGCGCAGAUAUCAGGAGGAACACCGAUGGCGAAGGCAGAUCUCUGGGCCGUAACUGACGCUGAGGAGCGAAAGCAUGGGGAGCGAACAGG
rnacentral:rRNA from 1 species